rnacentral:rRNA from 1 species
CCAGCAGCUGCGGUAAUUCCAGCUCCAAUAGCGUAUAUAAAAGUUGUUACAGUUAAAAGGCUCGUAGUCGAACUUUUGGUUCUUUUAAACUGUCCCUCUUUUUUGGAUUGAACGUGGUAGUGUCAAAAACCUUUCUGAUUGAGAGCGUUUCUGCCCUUUACUGGGUUGGUUGCGUAAUCCAUCUCUUUUACUGUGAAAAAAACAAAGUGCUCAAAGUAGGCAUUUUUGCUUGAACGCGGUAGCAUGGAAUAAUAAGAUAGGACUUUGCUUCUAUUUUGUUGGCUGUGAGAAACAAAGUAAUGAUAAAUAGGUAUAGUUGGGGUGCUCGUAUUUAACGGUCAGCGGUGAAAUGCAUGAACCCGAUAAAGACGAACUUAUGUGAAAGCAUUCACCAAGGAUAUCUUCUUUGAUCAAG